UACGUAGGGGGCUAGCGUUGUCCGGAAUCAUUGGGCGUAAAGAGCGUGUAGGCGGUCCGGUAAGUCAGCUGUGAAAGUCAAGGGCUCAACCCUUGAAUGCCGGUUGAUACUGUCGGGCUAGAGUCCGGAAGAGGCGAGUGGAAUUCCCGGUGUAGCGGUGAAAUGCGUAGAUAUCAGGAGGAACACCGGUGGCGAAGGCGCACAUCUGGCCCGAUACUGACGCUGAGGCGCGAAAGCUAGGGGAGCAAACGGG
rnacentral:rRNA from 1 species